CCUCUCAAGGAGCGUUGCAGCGCCGGCGGGCUUUCACAGCCCCCACCGUGCGUCAGGCUUGAGUGGGCAUGAACAGGCCCAAAACGGCGCUCACCAGUC
rnacentral:ncRNA from 2 species